GGUUGCGGCCAUAUCUAGUAGAAAACACCGUUUCCCGUCCGAUCAACUGUAGUUAAGCUGCUAAGAGCGAGACCGAGUAGUGUAGUGGGAGACCAUACGCGAAACUCUCGUGCUGCAAUCU
rfam:Spathaspora passalidarum NRRL Y-27907 unplaced genomic scaffold SPAPAscaffold_2, whole genome shotgun sequence.